rnacentral:rRNA from 1 species
GACGAACGCUGGCGGCGUGCUUAACACAUGCAAGUCGAACGGCAAGGCCCUGCUUUCGUGGGGUGCUCGCGUGCCGAACUGGUGAGUAACACGUGAGUAACCUGCCCUUGACUUUCGGAUAACUUCAGGAAACUGGGGCUAAUACCGGAUAGGAUCUCCUGCUGCAUGGUGGGGGUUGGAUAUUUUCGGCGGUUGGGGAUGGAAUCGCGGCUUACCAGUUUGUUGGUGGGGUAGUGGCUUACCAAGGCUUUGGCGGGUAGCCGACCUGUGAGGGUGAACGGCCAAAAUAGGACUGAGAUACGGCCCAGACUCCUAUAGGAGGCAGCGGGGGAGAAAAUUGCAAAAGGGGCAGAAGCGUGAUGAAGCAGCGCCGAGUGCGGGAUGACGGCCUUGGGGUAGUAAACAGCUAUCGCCUGAGACGAAGAGUGAGUGACGGUAAUGGGUGAAGAAGCACCGGCUAACUUCGUG